CCGAGGCGGGGCUGGGGAUCUCGGGUGCGCACACCCUCGGGGCUCGUCUGAGGGCUGCCGUCGGCGGAGAUUUCACUCCCUCUGCUAUUAGCUGGGAUGAGUGAAAGCAAACAGGCCGGCUCCGGAGAGCUUGUGGGGAACUGAAGGCGUUGCUGCCCUCGUUUCCCGGCCGGGCAGUGGCGGCCAGCCCUGCGCUGCUCCUCGGGGGUUUAUGGCCGUCGUUCCGGAUGGGGCCUCUUGUCGGGUGGCUGGAAACCAGCUUCUAAUUUCCAUCUAAAUCAAUAGAUGCUUGUGGGCUUUUGUUUACUUCCCCUUUCCGUGUAUUUACAUAUCCAAUUCCCACUCAUUUGUUGUGUUCGGUUAUAUAAGCCAGACCUUUUCAGCCCUGCAUGGUCAUGCAAGCGGUUCCCUGGUCAUCGGGAUGUAUGUUCUGAGAGACUUUUUCAGUUUAAAUGCUUUUAAAAUGCUUUUUCUCCGGAGAGGAGCUGCUGCAUGGAGUGUCAGACAGCGAUGCCUCAAACACAGCACUCAUGUUUUCCUGAAGUUAAUGGAAAUUCCAUGACUGGACUCACACUGCUCUGUUUCAGUCACACCGUGCUGUCAGCUUCCUGUCACCCUGCAGAUGGUUACUAAAGCCAAAUCCUUCUCCCAUUCACUUCUUGCUCGGACUCCCAACAAGAAAGCAAACCCAUUUUUUUUUAAAAAAAAAUAUUUCCUGAAUGCCUGAAGUUUCAAUUUUAUCCUAUAUUGUUUUGUGGGUCAUCCUACAAAACUGGCUUUUAGUAAAUCCAUACUACCUUUUAUCCCUUUGUUAUUCAUCAAAUAUUAUGUUUUUAGUUAGAUUCUCCUUUGCAGGUUUUUUCUGAAGAACUGCACAGGCAUCAAGAUCACAGGCCCAAACUGCUUCCACCAUGGCUUACUUCUUAGAACCUGCUGUUCUCUGGUCCUGUGGUAAUGCCUUCAAGUAGGGAAAUUCACUUAAAAUCUUUUGGAUUUGUGCACAUCAGGGUUCUGGAAUUGAGAAUGCCUGAUUUCUCCAGAUGGAAAACAGCAGACUGGGCAUCCUGUCUUUACCCCAUGGAUUAUCAUGUUCAUCCUUACUGAAAAUCAGGAGUUAGAAGCAGAGCUUUUCCACAGGCCUCAAGCGGCAUUUGGUCAGGAUCUGAGUGAUAACAGAUGGAAACAAAUGCCACAUUCUUAUUAAACAAUGUGUUUGCCUUUAAUCAACAAGAUAUCAUUAGACCAUUGUCACAAAAAUGAAGUCCAGAGAGUGUUAUACAAGCUCCUGGCUUGACUGAGUCAAACCUGAUGGUGCUUCAUGGGUGAGUCAGGACACCAAACCAGGACCUGCAGGUUUGCUGUGUGACCUACAGCUGAGCUGGGAGGUUAUCAGUAACCCAAAGCUACUGGGGAUGCUGACCAGCCCUGGAAAGAUGGGUUUUCAGCCACUGUCAUUUGGAGACCCUUGGAGAUGUGCAAGCGGAUCCUUGCAAAUAGAAGACAAGCUUGUUUGACCUGAGAAUUUUUGCCUAUCUCUUGCAAUUAACCUGUGGACCCUCAGCAGCCACAGAUACAACUCUGAUGCAAUCCAUGGUUUUAUCUUCCCUGAGAGAGAGAAGAGCCCAGCUUUGAUGAGCUGAAGUUAGCCCAUGUCAGAAUCCUUUCUGCUCCUCAUCUGCUCAGUCUGCUUCGACGUGUCCUUAUAUAUGGUGUUGGAAGUCAGGAAUGAUUUAAACAAAAUAGCCAAUUCCUCUGGGACAUCUUAUUGAAAAAUAAACCUUUGUCUGUAACCAAGAUACAAUGAAAUUUUGAAUUAUUUAGAUCACAUCUUGCAGAUGAUGCAGGAAACUUGGAUUUGGAAGAAUGUUCUUUUAGGUUGAAUUAGGUAAUGGACUUUUCUUUAGGAAGUUCAAUGCUGACUAGGGUCAGCUGAAGGGCUAUCUUUGACCACUGCUACUGAUUUCUUGAUUACAUAGAAGUUCUUAAUAGCAGAUGGUAACCUUGGGAAAUGACAGAUCCUAAAUGUUGUCCCUGAUCAGUUUUUUUCCCUCAUGCUGUUGUUUGGCAGACUCCAAGG